rnacentral:tRNA from 1 species
GGAGCUGUGGUGUAGCGGUUAACACACUGCCCUGUCAAGGCAGAGACCGCGGGUUCGAAACCCGUCAGCUCCG